rnacentral:lncRNA from 1 species
UUAGAUGGUUGUUGUAACCUCACAACAACAACAACAAGUUGUAUUUAUAGUUCUAUCAUAAAUAUGGCCGUUGGGGGUGCAUUAAAUGCAAAUAGAGCCGUUUAUGUUCAGAAAUAACCGUUAUACUGUGCCCAGAAAAACUCAGGUUCGGCGGCCUAAGCUUAGAGUUCGGCGGCCGAACCAUUUGGGGCGAAGAAACUAUUCCUUUAAAACUGAACUUUCGGCGGCCUAAACUCAAUGUUCGGCGGCCGAACAUGGUGGACUUUCGUUUCUGUUCCUCACUUUCGGAAGCCAAACUUUAGGCUUCGGAGGCAGACCCAAAACACACUUUCGGCGGCCGAAGGUUAAAUGUUCGGCGGCCGAAAGUGUGGGACUUUCGUCUCUGUCCCUCACUUUCGGAAGCCGAAGGUUACACUUAGGGGGCUGGUUGAAAACCCACUUUCGGC